AUGGAUCUUCGGGGUAAGGUGAAAUUCCUGACCGGCGGUGAGCGUCUCUUCUUGUGGUAAAGACGGCGUCAAGCCCGCGACUCGCAGCUUUAGCAAUAAGGCGGCGACUGACCUGGUGGAAAUCCAGGGCCGACGGUAAAGUCCGGAUGGGAGAAGAUCAAA
rnacentral:ncRNA from 1 species